GACGAACGCUGGCGGCGUGCUUAACACAUGCAAGUCGAACGGAAAGGCCCUGCUUUUGUGGGGUGCUCGAGUGGCGAACGGGUGAGUAACACGUGAGUAACCUGCCCUUGACUUUGGGAUAACUUCAGGAAACUGGGGCUAAUACCGGAUAGGAGCUCCUGCUGCAUGGUGGGGGUUGGAAAGUUUCGGCGGUUGGGGAUGGACUCGCGGCUUAUCAGCUUGUUGGUGGGGUAGUGGCUUACCAAGGCUUUGACGGGUAGCCGGCCUGAGCGGGUGACCGGCCACAUUGGGACUGAGAUACGGGCCAGACUCCUACGGGAGGCAGCAGUGGGGAAUAUUGCACAAUGGGCGGAAGCCUGAUGCAGCAACGCCGCGUGCGGGAUGACGGCCUUCGGGUUGUAAACCGCUUUCGCCUGUGACGAAGCGUGAGUGACGGUAAUGGGUAAAGAAGCACCGGCUAACUACGUG
rnacentral:rRNA from 1 species